CCUACGGGCGGCAGCAGUGAGGAAUAUUGGUCAAUGGGCUUACGCCUGAACCAGCCAAGUCGCGUGAGGGAAGACUGCCCUAUGGGUUGUAAACCUCUUUUGUCAGGGAGCAAUUGGCGCUACGUGUAGCGUUAUCGAGAGUACCUGAAGAAAAAGCAUCGGCUAACUCCGUGCCAGCAGCCGCGGUAAUACGGAGGAUGCGAGCGUUAUCCGGAUUGAUUGGGGUUAAAGGGUGCGUAGGCGGAAUGCCAAGUCAGCGGUAAAAUCGCGGGGCUCAACCUCGCUCCGCCGUUGAAACUGGCGUUCUUGAGUGGGCGAGAAGUAUGCGGAAUGCGUGGUGUAGCGGUGAAAUGCAUAGAUAUCACGCAGAACUCCGAUUGCGAGGCAGCAUACCGGCGCCCAACUGACGCUGAAGCACGAAAGCGUGGGUAUCGAACAGGAUUAGAUACCCCAGUAGUC
rnacentral:rRNA from 1 species